UACGGAGGGGUGCAAGCGUUAUCCGGAUUCACUGGGUUUAAAGGGAGCGCAGGCGGAUUUGUAAGUCAGUUGGUGAAAAGGGCUUAAGCUUAACUUGGGAACUGCCAUUGAUACUAUAAGUCUUGAAUGUUGUUGAGGUUUGCGGAAUGGGUCAUGUAGCGGUGAAAUGCAUAGAUAUGACCCGGAACACCUAUUGCGAAGGCAGCAGGCUAAACAAAUAUUGACGCUGAGGCUCGAAAGCGUGGGGAUCAAACAGG
rnacentral:rRNA from 1 species